rnacentral:rRNA from 1 species
CAAUAGCGUAUAUUAAAGUUGUUGCGGUAAAAAAGCUCGUAGUUGGAUUUCUGUUGAGAGCGACCGGUCCAUACCAUGUAUGCGUAUCUGGCUUGCUCUCGGCAUCCUCUCGAUAGACGUUACUGCGCUUGAUUGCGUGGUGCGGAUCUCGGGACUUUUACUUUGAGGAAAUUAGAGUGUUCACGGCAGGCUUUCGCCAGAAUACAUUAGCAUGGAAUAAUACUAUAGGAUCUUGGUUCUAUUUUGUUGGUUUCUAGAAUUGAGAUAAUGAUUAAUAGGGACAAUUGGGGGCAUUCGUAUCAACACGUCAGAGGUGGAAUUCUUGGAUUGUGUUGCGACGAACUACUGCGAAAGCAUUUGCCAAGGAUGUUUACAUUGA